CGGGUUUGCGUUUGUAAAAAACGGCACCGGCCCGAUCGGUACAGCUGCGGCCAGAGGGGGACGCGCGCGGCAAACAUUGGGUUUCGUUCGGUGGUUUUGGGAAUGGAUUUUUGAAGCUGGGUUUUAGUGGCGGAGUUAGAGGUUUUAGGGGAAGAAUGUGCUGUUGGUAUGUGUGUUCGUAGCAAAGUUUUGACUUUGCCCCGUCUUUUGUUUCGAAAUUUAGUUGGCAACUUUUGGGUUUUGAUUUGUUCGAUGGUUUUCAAAAUCUGGAUACUUUUGCAAAUACCGGCUUAUUAUUUGACACCCCCCUUGAAUUCGGGGAGGGGGGGAUUAGGAAGGUUACAUAGGUGUAGUAUUUUCGUUAUUUGACCGAUGUAGGCUUCAAAGUGAAAUCUGUUUCUGGCGGGUCUUAACAAAAUUUAAGAACAUAAUGUGAUGAAAAUGUUUUUGUUUUAAUGUGUUUAAAUAGUUCUGGACAUUUGGAUACGUUUGCACCUUCCAGGUUAUUAUUUGACCAUUGCAGGCUCGAAAGAGGAGGCGGGAAUAACACAAGUUUAGCAGGCAGUGUGCUGGUAAUAUGUGAGUUCGCAUCAAAUGUUUGAGUUCGACCAUCUUCGUUUUUAAAUGUAUUUGAAAACAUUGUAAUUUGGAUACCAUUGCACCUCCCAACCCAUUAGACCCUAAUAUCUGGGGAACGUUACCUUUAGGAGAGGUGUUGCAUAACAUUGGAAGAGAAAAAAAAUCAUACGUACACACAAGAUCUAUCCAUGAAAAUGCAUAGCUACGAGAGGGGAGGUGUAUCUACAUACCUUUGUAAAUCACUAAGCGAAAGCAUUAAGAAACUUGGUUGAUGUAG
rnacentral:lncRNA from 1 species